rnacentral:rRNA from 1 species
GGUUAGGCAAAAGUGUAGGUUAUUGAAAUUGGAUGACAUUAAUAGUGAGGGCUUGCUAGUAUAAGGUUAAAUGGUGAAAUGUGGUGAUUGUUAGCAUGUGAGUAAGAAUUCAUUGUUGGAGUUAUAGUUAUUAAGAUUAGGAUAUAAAGCGGGAUUAGAUACCCCGUUAUACUUAAAGGUAAUAAGUGGUUCUGGAGUAGUAAACAGUUAUAAGCUCGAAACUUAAAGGAAUUGGCGGUAUAUGAGUCUAGUUAGAGGAACCUGUACUAUAAAUGAUGUGCCACAAAAAUCUUAUUUUUUCUUGAAAGUUUCAGUCUGUAUACCGCUAUUGACAGAUAAUUCUUUAAGGACUUAUUGGAAUGAGGUUGACCUCAGUAUAUUAGGUCAAGGUGCAGCUAAUGGAAAAGUUUGUUAUGGGUUACAAUAUAAUUGAUAUAUGGAAAUGAAUAUAAGUUUGAAAGUGUUUAUUGAAGGAGGAUUUAAUUGUAGGGUGUGUAUAUUAAGCAUACCUGGUAGGAGCUCUCAUAUAAGUACACAUCGCCCGUCGUUCUCGCUCC